UUAAUGCUAAUCGUGAUAGGGGUUUAGUGCUGAUGAACACCUAUGCUGUUAGCAUUAAUC
rnacentral:pre_miRNA from 3 species